AUACGUAGGGGGCAAGCGUUAUCCGGAUUUACUGGGUGUAAAGGGAGCGUAGACGGUUUGGCAAGUCUGAUGUGAAAGCCCGGGGCUCAACCGCGGGACUGCAUUGGAAACUGUCAGACUUGAGUGCAGGAGAGGUGAGUGGAAUUCCUAGUGUAGCGGUGAAAUGCGUAGAUAUUAGGAGGAACACCAGUGGCGAAGGCGGCUCACUGGACUGUAACUGACGUUGAGGCUCGAAAGCGUGGGGAGCAAACAGGAUUAGAUACCCUGGUAGCCCACGCCGUAAACGAUGAAUGCUAGGUGUCGGGGGGCAAAGCCCUUCGGUGCCGCCGCUAACGCAUUAAGCAUUCCACCUGGGGAGUACGUUCGCAAGAAUGAAACUCAAAGGAAUUGACGGGG
rnacentral:rRNA from 1 species